rnacentral:rRNA from 1 species
CAGCCGCCGCGGUAAUACGAAGGGUGCAAGCGUUACUCGGAAUUACUGGGCGUAAAGCGUGCGUAGGUGGUGGUUUAAGUCCGUUGUGAAAGCCCUGGGCUCAACCUGGGAAUUGCAGUGGAUACUGGGUCACUAGAGUGUGGUAGAGGAUAGUGGAAUUUCCGGUGUAGCAGUGAAAUGCGUAGAGAUCGGUAGGAACAUCUGUGGCGAAGGCGACUAUCUGGGCCAACACUGACACUGAGGCACGAAAGCGUGGGGAGCAAACAGGAUUAGAUACCCCGGUAGUCCCUGUCUCUUAUAC